AGUAAUCAGGAGGACAAGUUUGAAGAUGCCUGUGAAAGUAUCCCUGUGGCAACAACAAUGAAUCUACCAUCUUCCUUGGAAGAAUGUACCACUGGAUUGUAUUUAUUUCUAAAUAACAGAUUCUCAGAUGCAAUAAAUCUCAUUCAUCCAUGGUCUAAAAACAGCAUGUACCAUUCUCUAAUGUAUGGUAUCCUUAUGGUUGUCAAGGCCAUCCUGACUUUUGAGCCACAGGAUUUACAGAUUGGAAUGAUGGCUGCAAAGGAUGCUUUGAAAACCUGUGAUAAUUUCCGAAAAAAAACUAAAAUGACAUUGUCUCAUCUAGUAAGUAGACAGGGAAUAACGGCUAUCACAGAAGAGGAAUUGCAUGCAGAAGUCUGUUAUGCUGAGUGUUUGAUCUUGAAAUCCUUUAUGUCAUGUAUACAGGAUGAAAGCAUGCUUGCUUUUCUUAAAAGGGGGAUCGGUAUUGGGUUAAGUUACCAAAUAUACAAAGACUGUCAACAAGUGUUAACACAGAUACCUGACAACCAAAGCAAAGCCCACAAACACCUGGUUGGAGGUAUAAAAUUUGGACUUGGAGCAUUCAAUUUGAUGUUAUCACUUAUGCCACCAAGGACACUUAAACUACUCAAUAUUAUUGGAUAUUCUGGUGAUAGAGAAGUGGGCUUGGCUUUGCUUCAUGAGAGUGCAUCUGAAACGCAUAUAAAUAAUAUCUUAAGUCUUUUGACUCUACUGUUUUAUUACAAUUAUAUCUAUGUAGCUUUUGGUGUUGAAAAGGUUUGCAAUUCUGCUAUGGAGGAUCUCUUCCUAGUCUACCUCAAGAAAUUUCCGAACUGUGUCAUAUUUAAAUUUUUCCAUGCACGUUCUAGUAUGUUGAAAGGAGAUUUUGAAAAUGCACAGCUAAAAUUACAGGAGUGCAUUUUUACUCAGAAUGAAUGGAAGCAGGUUCAUCACCUCUGUUACUGGGAAUUCAUGUGGUGCCACAUUUUACUGCAGGAUUGGAGGCAAGCUUACCACUAUGCCAAUCUACUGUCUCAACACAGCAGAUGGUCCAAGGCAAUAUAUAUGUACAGUAAAGCUAUCAUCCUGGCUUUACUUCCUUCCGAUUUUGUGAAAUCAGUAAGUGAGGAUAUGAACUCUCUCUUCUUAAAAGUGGAAAGCCUGAAAAUUAAAUUUUUAGGCAGUGCUGUGCCAAUAGAGAAGUUUGUUGCAGAGAAGGGUCAGCGCUAUGGUACUACAAUAGGCUGGUUUACAGCCCAGCCCCUUCUGGAGUUCAUUUAUGCCUGGAGUGGUUUCCGAGUCAUGAGCAAAAACAAUGAGCUUAUUUCAAGCUGGCUAUCAAUAAUCGACAAAGGAGAAGAUCUUUUACAAGAAAAUCCACAUAAAGAGUAUGGCACAGAUGACAUAAGUUUAUUAAAUUUACUGAAAGGCCUAUGCCUGAAACACUUAGGCAAAUAUUCAAAGGCUGAGUAUUACUUUAAUCGUGUCAUUCAAAAGGAGAAAUUAUUAAAAUAUGACCACUAUUUGGUGCCAUAUACUUACUAUGAACUGGGAAUCUUACACUAUCUAAAAGGAGACUAUGCCAGAGCAACAAAAAACCUAGACAACGUAAGAAAUUACAAAGACUAUUCCAUGGAAGCCCGAUUACAGUUUAGGACUCACAUAGCACUUGAACAAAUAGCCAAAGAAAAC
rnacentral:sRNA from 1 species